CAGUAGCCACGGUAACACGAAGGGGGCUAGCGUUGUUCGGAUUUACUGGGCGUAAAGGGCGCGUAGGCGGACUGAUAAGUCAGGGGUGAAAUCCCAAGGCUCAACCUUGGAACUGCCUUUGAUACUGUUUGUCUUGAGUUCGAGAGAGGUAAGUGGAACUGCGAGUGUAGAGGUGAAAUUCGUAGAUAUUCGCAAGAACACCAGUGGCGAAGGCGGCUUACUGGCUCGAAACUGACGCUGAGGCGCGAAAGCGUGGGGAGCAAACAGGAUUAGAUACCCCCGUAGUCCCUGUCUCUUAUAC
rnacentral:rRNA from 1 species